rnacentral:rRNA from 1 species
UACGUAGGGUGCAAGCGUUAAUCGGAAUUACUGGGCGUAAAGCGUGCGCAGGCGGUUUUGUAAGCCAGAUGUGAAAAUCCCCGGGCUUAACCUGGGAAUGGCAUUUGGGACUGCAAGGCUUGAGUGCGGCAGAGGAGACUGGAAUUCCUGGUGUAGCAGUGAAAUGCGUAGAUAUCAGGAGGAACACCGAUGGCGAAGGCAGGUCUCUGGGCUGACACUGACGCUCAUGCACGAAAGCGUGGG